rnacentral:tRNA from 1 species
AGGGGCGUAGCUCAGUCUGGUCAGAGCGGCGGUCUCCAAAACCGCGGGCCGAGGGUUCGAAUCCUUCCGCCCCUGCCA